AACGAACGCUGGCGGAAUGCUUAACACAUGCAAGUCGUACGGGCAGCUUCGGCUGUCAGUGGCGGACGGGUGAGUAACGCGUAGGAACGUGUCCUGUGAUGGGGGAUAACGCUGGGAAACUGGCGCUAAUACCGCAUAUGGCCUGAGGGUCAAAGCCGCGAGGCGUCAUGGGAGCGGCCUGCGUCCGAUUAGGUAGUUGGUGGGGUGAAGGCCUACCAAGCCUACGAUCGGUAGCUGGUCUGAGAGGAUGAUCAGCCACACUGGGACUGAGACACGGCCCAGACUCCUACGGGAGGCAGCAGUGGGGAAUAUUGGACAAUGGGCGCAAGCCUGAUCCAGCAAUUCCGCGUGGGCGAAGAAGGUCUUCGGAUUGUAAAGCCCUUUCGGCAGGGACGAUGAUGACGGUACCUGCAGAAGAAGCCCCGGCUAACUUCGUGCCAGCCGCCGCCGUAACAC
rnacentral:rRNA from 1 species